CACAUGAAGGCCCAUUCAGCAAAGAAGACAGAUGGCACUCAAAAUGAUGAAAGAUAAUACAGAAUAAACACUGGAUGUUGUAAUACCUUCGAGCAAGAGCUAGCAAAAGCUUAAUUGCUUCUUGGUGGAGCAGGAAGGACUGGAGAAUAAGAUGAUGACAAAUAUCAUCUGGAAGAGGGGAUCUUGCUUUCAUUGCUUUGCUUUUGGAAAUGCUUUUGUAAUUAGUCAAUCAUAAGCCUUAUAACUGGAUAAACUUGUGAGCUAUACAAACUGGGUUUUAAAAAAGUAUACACUUAAAGACCACUGGGAAAUAUCAAUUUGUCUUAAGCAUACAAAGGAAACAAUAUGUGGCUUCCAAUGUGCUCACUGGUUUGUUUAAAGCCCAGUGGAGGACAGACAGCUGGUGACAGCUUUUUUAUAUUUCAGGCUUGAGUAUCACGCUUAAAUGAGGUAGUAUUUGCAAAGCACUUAGCAUUGUUCCUGGAAUAGAAAUGAUGGCUAUUAAUCGUUGUUGCCCCCUGUGGGAAGAGCAUACGAAUAGAUGGCAGCCUGCAGGCCUACGUGCUAUAAUGGCAGAGGGGCCAGGAAAGGUCCCUGACCCUACCAUUCAAGGUUCACUCUUGGGGCUUUGUGCUCUGUUAAAUGCAAAUGCAAAUGCAAAUGCAAAUGUUCCUUAGCAGCUAUUUAUGUCUUGGGAUGAAUAAGUUUAUUAGGUCUUUUCAGAAGAAUGGUGUCAAGAGUAGAAAAAAGGAGCACGUAUAAA
rnacentral:lncRNA from 1 species